rnacentral:rRNA from 1 species
AACGAACGCUGGCGGCAUGCCUAACACAUGCAAGUCGAACGAGACCUUCGGGUCUAGUGGCGCACGGGUGCGUAACGCGUGGGAACCUGCCCUUAGGUUCGGAAUAACUCCCCGAAAGGGGUGCUAAUACCGGAUAAUGUCUUCGGACCAAAGAUUUAUCGCCUUUGGGUGGGCCCGCGUUGGAUUAGCUAGUUGGUAGGGUAAAAGCCUACCAAGGCGACGAUCCAUAGCUGGUCUGAGAGGAUGAGCAGCCACACUGGGACUGAGACACGGCCCAGAAUCCUACGGGAGGGAGGAGUGGGGAAUAUUGGACAAUGGGCGAAGGGCUGAUCCAGCAAUGCCGGGUGAGUGAUGAAGGCCUUAGGGUUGUAAAGCUCUUUUACCCGGGAUGAUAAUGACAGUACCGGGAGAAUAAGCACCGGCUAACUCCGUG